rnacentral:rRNA from 1 species
UACGAAGGGGGCUAGCGUUGCUCGGAAUCACUGGGCGUAAGGGGUGCGUAGGCGGGUCUUUAAGUCAGGGGUGAAAUCCUGGAGCUCAACUCCAGAACUGCCUUUGAUACUGAAGAUCUUGAGUUCGGGAGAGGUGAGUGGAACUGCGAGUGUAGAGGUGAAAUUCGUAGAUAUUCGCAAGAACACCAGUGGCGAAGGCGGCUCACUGGCCCGAUACUGACGCUGAGGCGCGAAAGCUAGGGGAGCAAACAGG